rnacentral:pre_miRNA from 1 species
CUUUCUGUGGUCGUCGUGUAAGGCUGAAUGCAGUAUCCUCACACACAACCACAGGAAGUU